AUCUUCCGAUGUGGCUCAGAUAACACGCCCCAUGACCAGAUCUUUCCGGGCCAAACUCCUCGCCCAGCAGCAACAUUCCAAGAAGGUCGACCCACUCCUUGCGCCAACCGUUCCCAAACCCAACAAGCAAAUCCCGACAGUGCCUAAACCUAGCAAGCAGAUCCCCAUCGUCUCCAAACCCAGCAAGCAAAUCCCGACAGUCCCUAAACCUAGCAAGCAGAUCCCCAUCGUCCCCAAACCAAGAAAACAAAUCCCGACAGUCCCUAAACCCAAAGUAGAUGAACCUAAACCCAGCAAGCAAACAGUGCCGGAGCAGAAGACGCAGAGAAAUUCUAAGAAGAAGGUUCAUUCUCUGACAUCUGUCUUAUCUGCAAGAAGUCUGGAAGCUUCUAGAUCGUCGUCGCCAAUCACGGAC
rnacentral:lncRNA from 1 species